AAGAGUUGCUACCACAAUGGUUUGCCCCAUUUGUUGCCUUCCUAGGUUGAAGACAACAAGGUUCAUGAAGUGGAAAAGGUUAUCAUUUGGAUGGACAACCCCAAUACCAGUUUUGUUCUCUGCCGGCAAAGGUUAAGGACUCUUGAUUGAUGGUGAGGGCUCUCUGCUCAAGCCUUAAAGGUAAAGGUCAGUUGCUUAUUAAGAAUUAGGGUCUACGUGAACAAAAUUGUUUUUUAAUACACUUUCCUUUCUACCAUCCUCGUGGGUUUGUAAUUGUAUUCACCUACAUCUACUUUCUCGGAAUUUUCUGCCACGCAGGGUGGCAUAUAUGUUA